rnacentral:rRNA from 1 species
GGGUUGUGAGGUUAAGCGACUAAGCGUACACGGUGGAUGCCCUGGCAGUCAGAGGCGAUGAAGGACGUGCUAAUCUGCGAUAAGCGCCGGUAAGGUGAUAUGAACCGUUAUAACCGGCGAUUUCCGAAUGGGGAAACCCAGUGUGACUCGUCACACUAUCAUUAACUGAAUCCAUAGGUUAAUGAGGCGAACCGGGGGAACUGAAACAUCUAAGUACCCCGAGGAAAAGAAAUCAACCGAGAUUCCCCCAGUAGCGGCGAGCGAACGGGGAGGAGCCCAGAGCCUGAAUCAGCAUGUGUGUUAGUGGAAGCGUCUGGAAAGGCGCGCGAUACAGGGUGACAGCCCCGUACACAAAAGCGCAUGUGCUGUGAGCUCGAUGAGUAGGGCGGGACACGUGGUAUCCUGUCUGAAUAUGGGGGGACCAUCCUCCAAGGCUAAAUACUCCUGACUGACCGAUAGUGAACCAGUACCGUGAGGGAAAGGCGAAAAGAACCCCGGCGAGGGGAGUGAAAAAGAACCUGAAACCGUGUACGUACAAGCAGUGGG